GACGAACGCUGGCGGCGUGCUUAACACAUGCAAGUCGAACGGAAAGGCCCCAGCUUGCUGGGGUACUCGAGUGGCGAACGGGUGAGUAACACGUGGGUGAUCUGCCCUGCACUCUGGGAUAAGCCUGGGAAACUGGGUCUAAUACCGGAUAGGACCGUGCUUUAGUGUGUGCGGUGGAAAGUUUUUCGGUGCAGGAUGAGCCCGCGGCCUAUCAGCUUGUUGGUGGGGUAAUGGCCUACCAAGGCGGCGACGGGUAGCCGGCCUGAGAGGGUGUACGGCCACAUUGGGACUGAGACACGGCCCAGACUCCUACGGGAGGCAGCAGUGGGGAAUAUUGCACAAUGGGCGCAAGCCUGAUGCGGCGACGCCGCGUGGGGGAUGACGGCCUUCGGGUUGUAAACCCCUUUCGGCAGGGACGAAGCUUUUGUGACGGUACCUGCAGAAGAAGCACCGGCUAACUACGUG
rnacentral:rRNA from 1 species